rnacentral:rRNA from 1 species
ACUCCUACGGAGGCAGCAGUGGGGAAUAUCGGACAAUGGGCGCAAGCCUGAUCCAGCAAUGCCGCGUGUGUGAAGAAGGCCUUCGGGUUGUAAAGCACUUUUAUCAGGAGCGAAAUCUGCAUGCUUAAUACGUGUGCAGUCUGACGGUACCUGAGGAAUAAGCACCGGCUAACUUCGUGCCAGCAGCCGCGGUAAUACGAAGGUUGCAAGCGUUAAUCGGAAUUACUGGGCGUAAAGGGUGCGUAGGCGGUUAGUUAAGUCUGUUGUGAAAUCCCCGGGCUCAACCUGGGAAUGGCAAUGGAUACUGGCUAGCUAGAGUGUGUCAGAGGAUGGUGGAAUUCCCGGUGUAGCGGUGAAAUGCGUAGAGAUCGGGAGGAACAUCAGUGGCGAAGGCGGCCAUCUGGGACAACACUGACGCUGAAGCACGAAAGCGUGGGGAGCAAACAGGAUUAGAUACCCUGGUA